AGUGAACGCUGGCGGUAGGCCUAACACAUGCAAGUCGAACGGCAGCACAGUAAGCGCUUGCUCUUACGGGUGGCGAGUGGCGGACGGGUGAGGAAUACAUCGGAAUCUACUUUUUCGUGGGGGAUAACGUAGGGAAACUUACGCUAAUACCGCAUACGACCUACGGGUGAAAGCAGUGGAUCUUCGGACCUUGCGCGAUUGAAUGAGCCGACGUCGGAUUAGCUAGUUGGCGGGGUAAAGGCCCACCAAGGCGACGAUCCGUAGCUGGUCUGAGGGGAUGAUCAGCCACACUGGAACUGAGACACGGUCCAGACUCCUACGGGAGGCAGCAGUGGGGAAUAUUGGACAAUGGGCGCAAGCCUGAUCCAGCCAUACCGCGUGGGUGAAGAAGGCCUUCGGGUUGUAAAGCCCUUUUGUUGGGAAAGAAAAGCAGCAGGUUAAUACCCCGCUGUUCUGACGGUACCCAAAGAAUAAGCACCGGCUAACUUCGUG
rnacentral:rRNA from 1 species